rnacentral:rRNA from 1 species
GACGAACGCUGGCGGCGUGCUUAACACAUGCAAGUCACGGGGGCCCGCAAGGGCAACCGGCGAACGGGUGCGUAACACGUGAGCAAGCUUCCGAUUAGUGGGGGAUAGCCGGCCCAACGGCCGGGUAAUACCGCAUACGUUCACUGGACGGCAUCGUCUGGUGAGGAAACCUCCGGGGCUAAUCGAGGCGCUCGCGGCCUAUCAGCUAGUUGGCGGGGUAAUGGCCCACCAAGGCUAUGACGGGUAGCUGGUCUGAGAGGAUGGCCAGCCACAUUGGGACUGCGACACGGCCCAGACUCCUACGGGAGGCAGCAGUGGGGAAUAUUGCGCAAUGGACGAAAGUCUGACGCAGCGACGCCGCGUGUGGGAUGAAGCUCUUCGGGGUGUAAACCACUGUUGCCCAGGACGAAACUCCUCUUUCGAGAGGACUGACGGUACCGGGUGAGGAAGCACCGGCUAACUCUGUGCCAGCCGCCGCCGUAAUAC